ACUUAAGCAUAUCAAUAAGCGGAGGAAAAGAAACUAACAAGGAUUCCCCUAGUAACUGCGAGUGAAGCGGGAAGAGCUCAAAUUUAAAAUCUGGCGGCCUUGCCGUCCGAGUUGUAAUUUAGAGAAGCGUUUUCCGCGUCGGACCGUGUACAAGUCUCCUGGAACGGAGCGUCAUAGAGGGUGAGAAUCCCGUCUUUGACACGGACCCCCGGUGCUCUGUGAUACGCUCUCGAAGAGUCGAGUUGUUUGGGAAUGCAGCUCAAAAUGGGUGGUGAACUCCAUCUAAAGCUAAAUAUUGGCGAGAGACCGAUAGCGAACAAGUACCGUGAGGGAAAGAUGAAAAGCACUUUGGAAAGAGAGUGAAACAGUACGUGAAAUUGCUGAAAGGGAAACGCUUGAAGUCAGUCGCGUCCGCCGGAAUUCAGCCUUCAUGGUGUACUUUCUGACGGACGGGCCAGCAUCACUUUUGAUCGCCGGAAAAGGGCAGAGGGAAUGUGGCACCUCCGGGUGUGUUAUAGCCCUCUGUCGUAUACGGUGGUUGGGAGUGAGGACCGCCUAUCUUUGUAGGAUGCUGGCGUAAUGGCUUUAAACGACCCGUCUUGAAACACGGACCAAGGAGUCUAACAUGCCCGCGAGUGUUCGGGUGGAAAACCCGUGCGCGUAAUGAAAGUGAAAGUUGGGAAGGCUGUCAUGGCCUGCACCGACGCCCGGACCUGAGAUUUAUCAAAGGUUCUGCGGUAGAGCGUGUAUGUUGGGACCCGAAAGAUGGUGAACUAUGCCUGAAUAGGGUGAAGCCAGAGGAAACUCUGGUGGAGGCUCGUAGCGAUUCUGACGUGCAAAUCGAUCGUCAAA
rnacentral:rRNA from 1 species